rnacentral:rRNA from 1 species
GACGAACGCUGGCGGCGUGCUUAACACAUGCAAGUCGAACGGACAGGCCCUGCUUUUGUGGGGUGCUCGAGUGGCGCACGGGUGUGUAACACGUGAGUAACCUGCCCCUGACUUUGUGAUAUCUUCAGGGAACUGGGGCUAAUACCGGAUAGGAGCUCCUGAUGCAUGGUGGUGGUUGGAAAGUUUCGGCGGUUGGGGAUGGACUCGCGGCUUAUCAGCUUGUUGGGGGGGUAGUGGCUUACGAAGGCUUUGACGGGUAGUCGGCCUGGGAGGGUGGCCAGGGACAAGGGGACUAAGGGAGGGCCCAGUCGGGAACGGGAGGCAGUGGGCGAAAAUAUGGCACAACGAGGGGGAGUGUGAUGUAGCGGCGCUGGGUGCGGAAUGACGUCCUACGGGGGAUGAACCGCUUUCGCCUGUGACGUAGCGGGAGUGACGGUAAUGGGUAAAGAAGCACCGGCUAACUACGUG